rnacentral:rRNA from 1 species
GCAAUACAACGUGGUGGCGACCGGCGCACGGGUGAGUAACGCGUAGUGCAACCUACCUAUCAGAGGGGAAUAACCCGGCGAAAGUCGGACUAAUACCGCAUAAAACAGGGGCACCGCAUGGUGAUAUUUGUUAAAGAAAUUCGCUGAUAGAUGGGCAUGCGUUCCAUUAGGUAGUUGGUGAGGUAACGGCUCACCAAGCCGACGAUGGAUAGGGGAACUGAGAGGUUGGUCCCCCACACUGGUACUGAGACACGGACCAGACUCCUACGGGAGGCAGCAGUGAGGAAUAUUGGUCAAUGGGCGGGAGCCUGAACCAGCCAAGUCCGCGUGAAGGAAGAAGGAUCUAUGGUUCGUAAACUUCUUUUGCAGGGGAAUAAAGUGCAGGACGUGUCCUGUUUUGUAUGUACCCUGAGAAUAAGGAUCGGCUAACUCCGUGCCAGCCGCCGC